GAUGAACGCUGGCGGCGUGCUUAACACAUGCAAGUCGAACGGAAAGGCCCUGCUUGCAGUUUACUCGUUUGGCGAACGGGUGAGUAACACGUGGGUGCUCUGCCCUGUACUUUGGGAUAAGCCUGGUAAACUGGGUCUAAUAUCGCCUAUAACAAUUGUUUGUCUGCUAUUAUGGAAAGCUAUUGAGGUCUGGGAUGAGCUCGCGGCCUAUGAGCUUGUUGGUGGGGGAAUGGCCUACUAAGGCGUCGACGGGUAACCGGCCUGAGAGGGUGGAGGGCCACAGGGGAACUGAGAAACGGCCCAGACUCCUAAGUGAUGCGGGAGGGGGGAAUAUUGCAUAAUGGGCGAUAGCCUGAAGCAGCGACGCGGCGUGGGGGAUGAAGGCCGUCGGGUUGUAAACUCCUAUCGCAACCUAUGAAGCCUUUUGGUGACGGUAGGUGGAGAAGAAGCACCGGCUAACUACGUG
rnacentral:rRNA from 1 species